rnacentral:rRNA from 1 species
GUGCCAGCCGCCGCGGUAAUACGGAGGGUGCAAGCGUUACUCGGAAUCACUGGGCGUAAAGGGCGCGUAGGCGGCUUGGUAAGUUGGAUGUGAAAGCCCACGGCUCAACCGUGGAACUGCGUCCAAAACUGCCAGGCUAGAGUCCGGGAGAGGCAGAUGGAAUUGGUGGUGUAGGGGUAAAAUCCGUAGAGAUCACCAGGAAUACCCAUUGCGAAGGCGAUCUGCUGGAACGGUACUGACGCUGAGGCGCGAAAGCGUGGGGAGCAAACAGGAUUAGAUACCCUGGUAGUCCACGCCCUAAACGAUGGAUGCUAGUCGUUGGGAAGCUAGUCUUCCCAGUGAUGCAGCUAACGCAUUAAGCAUCCCGCCUGGGGAGUACGGCCGCAAGGCUAAAACUCAAAGGAAUAGACGGGGACCCGCACAAGCGGUGGAGCAUGUGGUUUAAUUCGAAGAUACGCGAAGAACCUUACCUGGGCUUGACAUCCCUGGAAUCUCCCAGAGAUGGGGGAGUGCCUCCUUAUGGAGGAGCCAGGUGACAGGUGCUGCACGGCUGUCGUCAGCUCGUGUCGUGAGAUGUUGGGUUAAGUCCCGCAACGAGCGCAACCCUCGUCCUUAGUUGCCAGCACUUAGGGUGGGCACUCUAAGGAGACUGCCCGGGUAACCGGGAGGAAGGUGAGGAUGACGUCAAGUCAUCAUGGCCCUUAUGCCCAGGGCGACACACGUGCUACAAUGGCGCGUACAGAGAGAGGCGAUACCGCGAGGUGGAGCAAAUCUCUAAAGCGCGUCCCAGUUCGGAUUGCAGUCUGCAACUCGACUGCAUGAAGUCGGAAUCGCUAGUAAUCGCGGAUCAGCCAUGCCGCGGUGAAUACGUUCCCGGGUCUUGUACUCACCGCCCGUCACACCAUGGGAGUUGAGCUCACCCGAAGCCGGGGGACCGACCCUUUAAGGGGGGACCCUCGUCGACGGUGGGCUCAGCGACUGGGGUGAAGUCGUAACAAGGUAGCC